rnacentral:rRNA from 1 species
UCCUCUAUUAAUUUAUUUGAGGUAUUACCUGCUCAUAUGCAAGAAAGUAAAUAGCCGCAGUAUUCUGACUGUGCAAAGGUAGCAUAAUAAAUUGGCUCUUAAUUGGAGUCUGGAAUGAAUGGUUUGACAAGGGUUUAACUGUCUUUGGAUAAAAUUUUUCGAAAUUUAAUUGUCUGUAAAAAUGCUGACAUGAUAGAGAGGGACGAGAAGACCCUAUAGAUCUUAUAGAAGAUGUCUUGUUUAAAUUUAUUUGAUCAUGAUGUUUUUUUUAUUUGGGGAAAAUCCUGAAAUAUUAAACUUCGGUUAAAAUGAAAUAAUAAAAUUAAAGUAAAAUUACUUAGUUUUGAUCCACAACAGAGGGUUGUGAAAGAAUGAAAAAGUUACCUUAGGGAUAACAGGACAAUAAUUUUCUUAAAGACCUUAUUUUAGAAAAUGAUUGUUACCUCGAUGUUGAAUUAAGUUAUCUAAUUAAAGAAGAAGUUCUUAUAGUUGGUCUGUUCGACCAUUAAAAAC